rnacentral:rRNA from 1 species
GAAAGUAAAGAAGGGCGUAUGGCGGAUGCCUAGGCUCUCGGAGGCGAAGAAGGACGUGAUAAGCUGCGAUAAGCUGCGGCGAGGAGCAAAUAUCCUGUGACCCGCAGAUUUCCGAAUGGGGCAACCCGGCAGGACCACCUGUCAUCCCGGGAAACGGGAAGCAAACGUGGGGAACUGAAACAUCUCAUUACCCACAGGAAAAGAAAAUAACAAUGAUUCCGUCAGUAGUGGCGAGCGAAAGCGGAAGAGCCCAAACCGGUUCUGUUUCGGCAGAGCCGGGGUAGAAGGACUGCAUACGACAAAGGAGCAGGUAGCCGAACGGUCUGGAAAGGCCGGUCAAAGACGGUGAUAACCCGGUAGGCGAAACCAGCGACAGCGACAGCAGUAUCCUGAGUAGUGCGGGACACGAGAAAUCCUGUAUGAAUCUGCGGGGACCAUCCCGUAAGGCUAAAUACUCCCGAGAGACCGAUAGCGAACCAGUACUGUGAAGGAAAGGUGAAAAGAACCUCGAACAGAGGAGUGAAAAAGACCCUGAAACCAUACGCCUACAAGCGGUCGGAGCCCCUACGUGGGGUGACGGCGUGCCUUUUGCAUAAUGAACCUACGAGUUACUUUUGCCAGCCAGGUUAAUCGAUUCAGUCGAGGAGCCGAAGCGAAAGCGAGUCUUAAUAGGGCGGUAUAAGUUGGCAGGAGUAGACGCGAAACCAAGUGAUCUACCCAUGAGCAGGUUGAAGGUUAGGUAACACUAACUGGAGGACCGCACCGGUAAACGUUGAAAAGUUUUCGGAUGACUUGUGGGUAGGGGUGAAAGGCUAAUCAAACUUGGAGAUAGCUCGUACUCCCCGAAAUGCAUUUAGGUGCAGCCUUCUGAAUAUAUUUAAGAGGUAGAGCGACUGAUAAGAUGCGAGGGCUUCACCGCCUAUCAAGUCUUGAUAAACUCCGAAUGCUUAAAUAUGAAUCAGAGGAGUGAGGGCAUGGGUGCUAAGGUCCAUGUCCGAGAGGGAAAUAACCCAGACCACCGGCUAAGGUCCCGAAAUAACGGCUAAGUUGAAUUAACGAAGUAGAAUUGCAAAGACAGCUAGGAUGUUGGCUUGGAAGCAGCCAUUCAUUUAAAGAGUGCGUAACAGCUCACUAGUCGAGGAGUUCUGCGUGGAUAAUAAUCGGGCAUAAGCCGUUUACCGAAGCUGUGGAAUUGGCAACAAUUGGUAGGGGAGCAUUCCAUAAGCCGCAGAAGGUUUUCCUUGAGGAAUGCUGGAGGUAAUGGAAAAGCAAAUGUAGGUAUAAGUAACGAUAAAGAGGGCGAGAACCCCUCUCGCCGAAAGACCAAGGGUUCCUGAUCAACGCUAAUCGGAUCAGGGUAAGUCGGGCCCUAAGGCGCAGCCGAACGGCGCAGCCGAUGGCAGAAACGGUUAAUAUUCCGUUACUAUGAUACGGAGUGACGAGGAGACGGAGAAGUGACACUCUCGCCUGCUGACGGAAUAGCAGGUUGAACGGAGUAGAUAAUGACAUGGUAGGCAAAUCCGCCGUGACAGUCGAACCGGAUAGUACUGGGCGCCCCCGGGCAACCAGAUAGCAGAGGUAAUCAGGCUCCCGAGAAAAUCCCCUAAACAUAUGCGUAUCAUACCCGUACCCUAAACGGACACACGUGGUUGAGUAGAAAAUACUAAGGCGCUCGAGCGACUCACGGUUAAGGAACUAGGCAAAUUGACCCUGUAACUUCGGGACAAAGGGUCCCUCCCUCCGGGGAGGGCGCAGAGAAUAGGUCCAGGCAACUGUUUAACAAAAACACAGGGCUGUGCGAAAUUGAAAGAUGAAGUAUACAGCCUGACACCUGCCCGGUGCUGGAAGGUUAAGAGGAGAUGUCAUCGCAAGAGAAGCGUUGAAUUGAAGCCCCAGUAAACGGCGGCCGUAACUAUAACGGUCCUAAGGUAGCGAAAUUCCUUGUC